GGCGGUCUUGCUAACAGCAGUUUCUGCCAGUUAAUGUUCUUCUCCGUUAGUAAUUACUAAUUUGUAUUUUGUGAACACGACUGGACCUAAAAAUGGCGUUUAAAUACGAUAUUAUAACAUUAAUAGAACUCGUGCGAAUGCGACCAUGCAUAUGGGACAAAUCCAUAGAGGAAUUUAAGGAUAAAAUCCUUAAACAAGAGGCAUGGUUGGAGAUAUUCCAAUUACUCGAAGAAAAUUAUAUGAAUUUAUCAAGUGACGAAAAAAAAGAAGUUGGAUAUAAAAUAACAACUAAGUGGACUUAUGUAAGAGAUGCUUAUUUCAAGUCACUUAAAACAAAAUCGGGACAAGGAGCUAAAAAAACCUAUGUAUAUGGGAGGCAUCUUGACUUUUUAUUAAAAUGUUACAAAAAAGAAAAUACAGAUGACUCCUUAACUAGUCCCAAAAAUGGUUCUUUUAUUAAGGAAGAUGCGACGAACAGAGACGAUUAUAUUACACCAGAUUUGUCAACAAAUGAAGAAAUAGAAACAAUUCAGUCACCGGAACAGAAAAGAUCCAAAAAAAGUGCAACUACUAAUAGAAACUUAGAUAAUAUUGAACUGCAGCUGAUACUAGAAGAAUUAAAAAAUAAUAAGUGCCAGAAUUCACAGCCACAAAGACAACUAACUGAUGAGGAAAUUUUUUUUCAAUCAUUCACACCGUACAUAAAAGAUAUGUCAGAAUCGGAAAAAAUCGAAUUGCAAAUGGACAUCUUGACUGCUAUUAAAAAAAUUAAACAAAAUCGGCUCCAAAAUAAUUACGAUGUUACCUCUCAGCAGCCAUCGACGUUUAUUUCGCCAUCAUAAUACAUAUUAUCAAUUUGUAAAUUAUUGACGAAAACAAUAAAAAGACCACUCAAGUA